rnacentral:rRNA from 1 species
UACGUAGGGGGCUAGCGUUGUCCGGAUUUAUUGGGCGUAAAGAGCUCGUAGGCGGUCUGUCGCGUCGGCUGUGAAAACUCGGGGCUCAACCCCGAGCCUGCAGUCGAUACGGGCAGACUAGAGUGCGGUAGGGGAGACUGGAAUUCCUGGUGUAGCGGUGAAAUGCGCAGAUAUCAGGAGGAACACCGGUGGCGAAGGCGGGUCUCUGGGCCGUAACUGGACGCUGAGGAGCGAAAGCGUGGGGAGCAAACAGG